CCAGGUAUAAGGUCCAGGAAUGCAAAAACUUUGUCUCUCUGGCUCACCACUUUAAAUCUUGUGGAACAUAGUAGGAACCCUAUAGAUAUUUAUUGUGUGUAUGAGCCUCAUCAUUUUAUUGAAGACAAAACUAGGGCACAGAAUGCUUAAUUAGUUUCCUUGUCAUUCCACACAGUGAUAUAGACACUGAGAACACCUGCAAUUAAAUUUUGACACCUGUUGGUAAUUUUUGAAUGUAGUUAACAAAUUCAUACAUUAUUGAAAACUAUGUUUUUUUUCUGUAUUGAUUGAAUUUUUCAGUAAUUUUUCAUACUCACUCCUAAAAAUAUUAAUUUAUCCAAGAAUCAAAGCCUACAUUAUUUUUAUAGCACUGUUUAACUUACCCUAAAAUUACUUUGAAAUCCUAAUUUUAAAAAUUAUACUUUGUUAGGUCUAUAUUGGUCCUUGGAUGGUUUUUAUGCAACAGGACCCUCUUUGUCCAACCAACAUUGGAUAGUCCAUCAGAUACUCCUCAGGUUAUUUAAAGACAGUUCAUUGUUUUUCAGCCUAUGGUUAAGUAAAAAAUGUAAUCAUAUAAUCAAUAGCUUAAUUUCAAAGCAACUGGUUCAUUUAGCUUCUAGCCUUUUGGAAAUGUUUGAAUGUGGAUUAAAUACCAUAUUUCAUUAGCUUUCAGUUCAUUUUGAUUUACAAAACUUAGUAUUUCCUUUUCAUAGAAAGAAAUCUACUCUAAUAGAUCUAGCUUGCUUAUUUUCAUGAAAUAGCUGAGUAAAUAAUAAACAGUCUAGUUGAAAACAGGACCUUGGCGGGUCUUUAAAACCAGCUGAACUAAUAAACCAACUUGUCAGAGCUGUUCUCCCCAGAGCAUUUCUUUCCUUUGAUGCUACUAGCCUGUACGUACUCUCAUUUACUAUAGGAUUUGUAUUUGUGAUACUAGUCAAAUCAUGUGAAAACCUAGAUGUUUUGGACAAAGCAAUAAACAGAUGACCUAAGUGGGAUUAAACUUUUAUAAAAGCUUUCUCUGCUUUAGUCCCAGAAUCUGUUGGUGUUCAGCCUGGUGGUGUGAUCAAAGCCAGAUAUGUCUGGCACAGAGUAAAGACAAAUUAUGACUGCCUAACAGAGUAGCAGCAAGCAAGUUAGGCAGGUAAUGCAGAAUUCUUAUGGAAGCGAUGAUGCUUAUGUUUCAUGUUAUGAAAAUAGUGAGAGUGAAUCUGGAUGGUGAAAAACCGAGUCAUGCCAGAGCAUUUGAGUCACCUAUGUGUAUGCCUGCUAGGGAGUUUUCCUUUGUUCUUUUUAGAGACACUUGGCUUAUUUUAAUGGCUUUUCCAUGCAUGGCAUAAUCACCAGCUAUGUGAUUAACCAUGUCUAGUUAAGUUAUUUCAUCACAUCAAAAGUAAUGUAAAAUAGCUUUUCUGUUGACUGGAAAGCUGAGUUUGGUGGUUAUGAAUGUACCAGACAUCAAAGAGCUCUAUUAUUUACAGACUGUAUGGAAGCAAGCCAACAGCAUUGUAAGUUUCCCCUCUAUUGCUCCUUCCUUUAAGUGGAGUCAUCACCCACAAGACUGGAGGGAAGGAGGUGAUUUCUAUAAUAGCCCACUCUUGCACUUUUUAUCCAAAUAGGAAGGAUGGUGACCAGCUGUUUUGUGUCUCUACUGAAGGCAGAUAAAGGGAAAAAAUGUUCAUAUUGUAGCGUGAAACACUGUGAAUUGGCUAGAAAAAUCAUGGAAAAAGCUUCUCAUUCCAGCUUUUACCUCUAGCCAGUUGUACAAUUGUGUUAAGCUAUUUAAUUUCUCUUGCAGUGUCUGUGAAAGGCUGGGACUAGUCAGGUAGUAUGAAAAGUUUUUUGGGACACUAAACUGUAUACAAUCUUAUAACCUAAACUUAAAACCUGCAAAUGAGAGAUACCCCAGAGAUAACAGACCCAGAAAAAUUUUAUGGAGGGAACAUUAUUUACUACGUAAUAAUAUAUCUUGACAGUGCCCUGACAGAAUAGUACUUCAUACAGUCUAAUUUGAUUAUCCUGAUCAUCAGAAAUGUUUGCAUUCUUAUUGUGUAUUUAUCUCAGUUUGUGUUCCUCACAGGCAGAUCCUGAGAUAAAGAUUCCUGUGAAAGUGAUGUAUUAGGAAGUGUUUCCUGUAAAAACUGGUGGGAACAUAAAAAAAAAAAAGUAGGAAGAGAAGGAGAGAAGAGGAGCUCAAAAAAGAUGCAAUGUCAAGCCAAGUGCUGCAUAAGGGACUUUAGGUCAAUUCUCCAGAGGAUUCAAGAACAGAGAUUCAGGCCAUGUUUGAGAAUAAGGCGGUAGGGAAGUCAAAUAGAGUUGACACAGAGGAAAAAAAGUUUAUUUCUCUUAAAAGAAUAGUUCCUUCCUAGGACAACUGACAUAAUCUUACCUUGGGGGAUGCCUGGAGAUUGUACUAUCUCACUAAGGUCUACUUUAUCAUCAUUUUUUAGCAAUUCUAUUUUGAUGGCAGCUUCCUACUUGGAUCAUCAUUAAUGGAUUAGAACAAGAUGUCACCAUUGUAGAAUUCCUGAGAACCCACUGUGCUGUUCAGUUUUAUACAGUGUCAAAAAAAAAAAAAAAUAGCAUUAGGCAGCAAAUGAAAGUAGCAUUUUGUAUGUUAAUCUUGUUUCUUGUAGACAUGAAAAUCUGACAUCCAAAAAUCUAAGGAAUUUAAGAUUAAUUCUAUAAAAAGCUAAUACAGUUUCCCACAUUUUUCUCUUUGCUGAUAUAUCAUUUAAGAAUGGCUGAAGUAAACCAUUCUUCACUUUUUAAUAGCUUCUAUGUACCAGAAAUGCACUUAAGAUGAUUCCUUGAUUAGUUACAUUGGACCCUUGGAAGCUUUCCUGACUAUUACCACCAAGGACAAAAGAACUAAAAGAGAAUGAUGUUGUACUUACAUGCCUCAUGAUGGCAACCCAGGCCCCUAUUCAUUGAAUAUGUCCCCCAAUUGGAUUUUAAUUGAUUAUCUUCACACGUAUAUUACAGCUUUGAAAAGUUGAAAAGAAUCUCCCCCAAUUUGACUUCUCCUCAUCUUCAUUUUAAAAUUCAGCUCUUCACCUGGUCAUUGACAUGAAAAUGUCUUUCUAUAAAAUCCUUCAAGAAUAGCACAAGCACUUCACUUGAAAAGCGAAAGUAGCAAGUCAAAUGAGUAAGGCAAGGUGGCAGGUGAAUCCUGAGAGGAAGAAAUAUAAGGAGAAAUUGACAGCAUCUGGAAUUGGCUAAGAUAUAAAAGGAUCCCACUAUGUAGAGGGGGAGAGGAAUAUGAGGAGGCAUUGUUUUCAAAGGGAUGCAGCCAAAGAGGAACCUGGGUGGUUGUUGUUAACAGUUUUGUUGUUUGUUUAAUAGUAUUGCAUCCCAAUAUAUAUUAAAAUGGCUAUUUUUAACUUGAGAAAGCUGCUUAUUCUCUAAGUAUUAGUAGAGAAUUAUCCUAUGUAAGAUGGAGCUAAAAAAUUAUGACCCUGAAGAGUUAUUAGAAUUAAAUAAGAUAACAUGCACAAAUUACUUAGCACACUUGAAGCAUUCAAUAAAUGCUAUUUUUCUCUUUCAGCCAUAGCAUAAUGGUACCUCAUUUGGCAGGACUUUGUUGCUUUUUGAAGUUAUCCUAUUAUAGAAUAGUACAAUAACAAGAAAGUUACCUUAUUAGGUAAAAAUAAAAGUUGCACACUUCAUCAGCUACAAUUUAAUGCCUAUGCAGGUGGAUAUGGAACAAACUGAAAAUUUAAACUGAAAAGAUAUUUUAAUAGAUGGUAAUCCAAUGCAAUCAACAACAGGAAAAAAAAAAAGCUCUUAUCAGACAGCCAAGAUGAGAAUUUUUUUACUUUGUCAAAUACUUGUUGCAGGAGAAUGUCUUUUAGGAAAUGGUCAUCAUUUGAUAGAUCCAAUAAUCAAAUUGAUUGGUUAUAUCCUAUUAAGUAUGGCAUAUAAUUAGAUCUAACAGUGUUUUAAUACUUGCCUUACUAAGUAACCUUCCAGAUAUGUUCUGCAAGUUCUCUAGAAUUUAAAAUAGUAUUUUAUUAAUAAAUAAUGACAGCAUUGUUUAUGUACGAAGGAUAGAAGGUUCCAAUUGAAAUUGCAU
rnacentral:lncRNA from 1 species